rnacentral:rRNA from 1 species
UACAGAGGGUGCAAGCGUUGUUCGGAAUUAUUGGGCGGAAAGCGCGUGUAGGCGGCUUUGCAAGUCGGGUGUGAAAGCCCUCGGCUCAACCGAGGAAGUGCGCCCGAAACUGCAGAGCUUGAGUACCGGAGAGGAUGGCGGAAUUCCCCAAGUAGAGGUGAAAUUCGUUGAUAUGGGGAGGAACACCGGUGGCGAAGGCGGCCAUCUGGACGGAUACUGACGCUGAGACGCGAAAGCGUGGGUAGCAAACAGG